rnacentral:rRNA from 1 species
AUUGAACGCUGGCGGCAUGCUUUACACAUGCAAGUCGGACGAGUGGCGAACGGGUGAGUAACAUAUCGGAACGUCCCGAGUAAUGGGGGAUAACUAAUCGAAAGAUUAGCUAAUACCGCAUAUUAUUCGAGCGGGCGAUAUCUGAUUAGCUGGUUGGUGGGGUAAAGGCCUACCAAGGCGACGAUCAGUAGCGGGGCGAAGAGGAUGAGCGGCCACACUGGGACUGAGACACGGCCCAGACUCCGACGGGAGGCAGCAGUGAGGAAUUUUGGACAAUGGGAGCAAGCCUGAUCCAGCCAUGCCGCGUGUCUGAAGAAGGCCUUCGGGUUGUAAAGGACUUUUGUCAGGGAAGCGGUACCUGAAGAAUAAGCACCGGCUAACUACGUGCCAGCCGCCGCGGUAAUAC